AUGGAGAUGGCCGCGGUGACGAGGGAUGGAAAGAAUGGCGGCGUCCCAGAAUGGCGGGUGACGGUGCCGGAGGGCGCGUCGGUGACGCUGGAGCACGAGGCCUGCCUAGCCGCGCGGGCAUGGGCGUGGAUGGUUUCUUGUGUGGUCGUGCUCGGGGAGAAGGUGUCCGGCUUCGCCAAGCGGAUAUGGAAGAUCGGCGCCGACGAUCCCCGGCGGGCGGUGCACGGCCUCAAGGUGGGCCUCGCGCUCGCGCUGGUCUCGGUGUUCUACUACACCAGGCCCCUGUACGACGGCGUUGGCGGCGCCGCCAUGUGGGCCAUCAUGACGGUCGUCGUGAUCUUCGAGUACACCGUUGGUGGCUGUGUGUACAAGGGGUUCAACCGAGCCGCCGCGACGGUCAGCGCCGGCGCGAUCGCGCUCGGCGUCCACUGGAUCGCGGCCAACGCCGGCCACGAGUACGAGCCGUUCAUCCGCAGUGGCUCGGUUUUCCUGCUCGGUAAGUAUCCACGCGUGCCUGUACAUGAAUCGCGUAUCGUGUGCGCCCUAGCUAACGGUCUUGCUACGCGUUCCGUGCGUGCAGCUUCCAUGGCGACGUUCUCGCGGUUCAUACCCACGGUGAAGGCGCGGUUCGACUACGGCGUGACCAUCUUCAUCCUGACGUACAGCCUGGUGGCCGUGUCGGGGUACCGCGUGGAGGCGCUCCUGGCGAUGGCGCAGCAGCGGGUGUGCACCAUCGGCAUCGGCGUCUUCAUGUGCCUCUCCGUCUGCGUGCUCAUCUGCCCCGUGUGGGCGGGGCAGGAGCUGCACCGCCUCACCGUGCGCAACAUGGAUAAGCUCGCCGGCGCCGUGGAGGCCUGCGUCGAGGACUACUUCGCGGAGCAGGCGGACGGCAAGCAGCAGCCGCCGUCCGCCGGGGCGGACGGGUACAAGUGCGUGCUCAACUCCAAGGCGUCCGAGGACUCGCAGGCCAACCUGGCGCGGUGGGAGCCCGCGCACGGCAGGUUCGGCUUCCGCCAUCCGUACGAGCAGUACAAAAACGUCGGCGCCGCCAUGCGGCACUGCGCCUACUGCGUGGAGGCCCUGAGCGGGUGCGUCCGCUCAGAGAUCCAGGCGCCCGAGCACGUCAAGCGGCACCUCGCCGACGGCUGCACGACGGUGGCGGCGCGGUGCGCGCGGGUGCUCGGGGAGGCCGCGAGCUCCGUCAGCGCAAUGACUACGUCGUGGAGCCUCGAGUUCGCCGUGGCCGACAUGAACACCGCCGUGCAGGAGCUCCAGAGCGACCUGAGGGAGCUCCCGUCCAAGCUGGCCGAGGAGUCGCCUGCGACGGUGAUCGACGCCGUGCAGCUCUUCACGGUCACUUCGCUGUUGAUAGAGGUGUCCACCAGGGUGGAGGGCGUCGUGGACGCGGUCGACACGCUCGCGAGCCUCGCCGGCUUCAGAUCAGCGGACGCGAAACCUGAAGCUUCAGAAACCGAAACCAAAGCGAUCAAUCCAGACUCGGACGAGGAAGCACACUGA
rnacentral:rRNA from 1 species